rnacentral:rRNA from 1 species
UAUAGAUGUUUUGAGUAUUUUGCUCAGGACGAACGCUGGCGGCGUGCCUAAUACAUGCAAGUUGAGCGCUGAAGGUUGGUACUUGUACCAACUGGAUGAGCAGCGAACGGGUGAGUAACGCGUGGGGAAUCUGCCUUUGAGCGGGGGACAACAUUUGGAAACGAAUGCUAAUACCGCAUAAAAACUUUAAACACAAGUUUUAAGUUUGAAAGAUGCAAUUGCAUCACUCAAAGAUGAUCCCGCGUUGUAUUAGCUAGUUGGUGAGGUAAAGGCUCACCAAGGCGAUGAUACAUAGCCGACCUGAGAGGGUGAUCGGCCACAUUGGGACUGAGACACGGCCCAAACUCCUACGGGAGGCAGCAGUAGGGAAUCUUCGGCAAUGGACGAAAGUCUGACCGAGCAACGCCGCGUGAGUGAAGAAGGUUUUCGGAUCGUAAAACUCUGUUGGUAGAGAAGAACGUUGGUGAGAGUGGAAAGCUCAUCAAGUGACGGUAACUACCCAGAAAGGGACGGCUAACUACGUGCCAGCAGCCGCGGUAAUACGUAGGUCCCGAGCGUUGUCCGGAUUUAUUGGGCGUAAAGCGAGCGCAGGUGGUUUAUUAAGUCUGGUGUAAAAGGCAGUGGCUCAACCAUUGUAUGCAUUGGAAACUGGUAGACUUGAGUGCAGGAGAGGAGAGUGGAAUUCCAUGUGUAGCGGUGAAAUGCGUAGAUAUAUGGAGGAACACCGGUGGCGAAAGCGGCUCUCUGGCCUGUAACUGACACUGAGGCUCGAAAGCGUGGGGAGCAAACAGGAUUAGAUACCCUGGUAGUCCACGCCGUAAACGAUGAGUGCUAGAUGUAGGGAGCUAUAAGUUCUCUGUAUCGCAGCUAACGCAAUAAGCACUCCGC